GAUGAACGCUAGCUACAGGCUUAACACAUGCAAGUCGCGGGGCAGCAUGGGGGUUGCUUGCAACCCCUGAUGGCGACCGGCGCACGGGUGAGUAACGCGUAUCCAACCUGCCCUUCACCACGGGAUAACCCGGCGAAAGUCGGACUAAUACCGUAUGUUGUCCAUUGACGGCAUCCGAUUUGGACGAAAGGCUUGGCGGUGAGAGGAUGGGGAUGCGUCCGAUUAGCUUGACGGCGGGGUAACGGCCCACCGUGGUUACGAUCGGUAGGGGUUCUGAGAGGAAGGUCCCCCACACUGGAACUGAGACACGGUCCAGACUCCUACGGGAGGCAGCAGUGAGGAAUAUUGGUCAAUGGGCGUAAGCCUGAACCAGCCAAGUAGCGUGCAGGAUGACGGCCCUAUGGGUUGUAAACUGCUUUUAUGCGGGGAUAAAGUGGCCCACGUGUGGGCUUUUGCAGGUACCGCAUGAAUAAGGACCGGCUAAUUCCGUG
rnacentral:rRNA from 1 species